UUGACCUCGGAUCAGGUAGGGAUACCCCCUGAACUUACAUAUCAAUAA
rnacentral:rRNA from 1 species